rnacentral:lncRNA from 1 species
AAUACCUCAACACCUCUUGACGAAUCAAGGAGAGAGGAGAAGCUAUGAUCAAAUGUGAGAGGAGAGCCUGUAGCAUGGAGAGCUAUAACACACAGACCUGCAACAUAAAGAGCUGUGCCAUUUCUAAAGAAUCUUCUAGAGAGAAGAGUCUGCCACGUUUCUUGGGGAUGAGACAUAGGGCCAAGCGGGGAAGCCACAGACUCCUUCUGCCACCACUACUGCAGCAUCAUUACCCAGGAGCUGACUCUGUGGAAAACUAUAAAGGGUUAUUGUGAUCUCAUGGACUGACUUGAAAAAGAUACUUUGAAGAAUGACAGCUGCAGAGAGUUCUUUAUGAAGUCUUCUGGCUUCUCAUUCACAACCACACAGAGCACCGCUGGUGAAGAAGAAGCAGGCUUGUGUAGGUGGAAGGCGAAGGCUGCUCUGGACACACACGGUGCCUAAUGCAGCAAGCACUGGGCUGCUGGGAAAGGUAGAUCACAGGAACAUGGUUUGGUGGUCAUCGUUUCAAAUCAGUCUGUCUCGGGGAACAACUGCCACCAUUGCACAUUAGUUAUCUCGCUUCUGAUUUAUUAUCUGGCACAAGAUGGGCGCAGUGCUCAUCCUAAUGAACAGAAGUGUUUGGUAUGAUUUUGAUGCCAAAGGAGCAGAAGCAGCCAUGAUGAAUGUGAUUGUGUAAUGAUACCACUGUGUAUCAUAAACAUAUUCAUUUUUUUGGAUGAACUUUAUUUCAUCCAAAAGUGGAAUUAAUUUGAUCCAAACCAGAUGAAUGAGGAAAGCAGCUACUGUGUAAAUAGUUCACUUGUUACUUUUCCAGAUAGAAAACAAACUAGCUGUAAAUCAUUAUUGGACUAUUUAAAGGACUUUCAUAGUUUUGUGAGGACAAUUCCAAUGUUUGGAAUCUUUAGAAUGUAAUAUUUUCCAGAGAUAAACUCUAAAGGAAUAGAUGAAUAAUAGACCCAUAAAAAUAUCUGGAGUGAUACAGCAGCAAAUUUCUUCAGUUUUAGGCUGAGACUGGUUUCUGAGGUAUGCU